AUGGUGGCAGAACCUGUUCUGAGCUUUCUUCCUCCUCUUGCCCACCACGGGAUCCAGCAAAUAGCUCAAAUGCCUAAAAGGGCGGCGCCUCUCCUCCACCAGGGAUCACUGAUGUCAAAGACCACAUCACACAACUGGGCUCAACCAGUCUCUGCAGUGGCCCACCGGCAGCCUUCUGCGGUCAACCUUGUGUCUUCCUGCAAGCUGCUCGGGGAAUGCUGGAGAACUCAGCGCUGCCCAAACUUGCUGCGGGCCGGCACCUGGAAGAGCCAGCGAGUUAAAAUGUGAAUGCUUUUUGAAAAUCUCAUCCUGGAUCCCACUGCAGAUCUAAUGAGUCAUAAUCUUCUGGAAAUGAGUACAGGAAUUCAUUCCAGGUAAAUCUUAUAAGGCAAGUUAAGUAAAUGUUAUUUUAAUUCCUUAAAUGCUUUUCUUAAUCUAGAGAUUCU
rnacentral:lncRNA from 1 species